rfam:TPA: Bos taurus chromosome 17, whole genome shotgun sequence.
UCCCUGGUGGCUCAGACGGUAAAGCAUCUGCCUGCAAUGCGGGAGACCUGGGUACGAUUCCUGGGUCGGGAA